UCCCCAUGUAUGACAACGAGCUGCACUUGAAAGUCUCCAAAACAUUACUUCUGAAGUAUUCUGUUUCCAGAUAAACCUUUUUUUAAAAGCUGGACUUACUCUUCUGAGUCUUCUAAAGCAUUGGUCAGGCUUCUGAACGUGUUCUUUGAGCACUAUGUUAGUGAGAAAGGUUCAAGUGUUUUCUAUAGAAAAUAGUGAGCUUGUUUCUAUUAAAAGCUGUCAUACCUCCACCUGCCUCAAUAUGACAUCAGGCUAUGAAAAAGAAACCUAAAAAGAGAGACAUGUUGUACUCAGCACAGAGAAGAAAAUUUCACAAGAGACAAGGCCAGUGAAGAUCAGUCACCAUUUUUCUGCAAGGUGGAUGGAGCAAGAAGGGACAGAAGAGGCCUCCCAGUUCUUCAUCGAGUGGAAGGGAAGAAAUUGUCCUGAGUCACAGACUAUUCCUGUUUUUUUAAGGCAGAAACAUGCGCCCACACACCCUGUCACAACUGCACAGCAAGACACUGCCUUUGAGGAAGCAUGGAUUUCUUGCACAUAUGGUCUGCAAUCAACUCAGCUGAAUACAAACUUUCUUGAAUUUCUGCAUUAGAGAUGGGGAACAUCUUUGUGGAAACUGGUAUGCGUGGCAGCCCUUGCUUGAAAUGAAGGGGCAAUGCCACAGGGGGGAGAAGUGUUUUGUACAAGGCUACACACAGAAGUGGUGGCAAAGCUAGAAACAGAGCAAGGUCUCUGAACAUGUAAGUCUGUAUGUCCUCCUCCAUAUCACCCUGUCUACCAGGCAGAGAAAGGAGUAGGCUGUGAUAGUGGAAGCCAGUGAAGGAAAAGUCUGUCCCUGUCCCUCUGUCCCUCUGUUCAGAAGAAACUGUCUCAGUUGGCCUACUUGUUCCCUUUACCUAGUUCCCAGCAAGAGAAGUGUUAAACCAGCACUGAGAGCCCUCAUUCCUCCUGGGAUUCAGAAUAUAACAACAGAUGCCAAGGUUAUCUUUGUCCUCUCUCUCCAGUAAGGCUCCAGAGAAAGCACAAACAGAAUGUGGCUUUCUUCCCUUUUUCCUAUCAAUACCAACAAGAAACAUAUUUCUUUACUGUGAUUCCAUUUAUAUUUUGAAGAAUAACAGUAGCAGAACUCUCUGGAGACUCUAAAAUGGUUUUAAAGUAAUUCUGAGUCUUUCAAGGACAAAUAAGGGCUGCUAAUAGAGCAAGUGCAAAUCUUUUCUUUCUUUUUUUUUUUUUUUUUUUUUAUAAGCAUUCCUAGAAGACAAUGCUAUCUUUACUCUUCCCAUAUCAGCUGGGAGUCUGCAGCAUUUACCAUAUCCAGUGCUGCAGACCACCAGGGUUGAAGACGGUGACACGAAAUCCCUGUGUUGUUCAAGAUCACCUCAUAGGUGAGCCUUUCCAGAGGGCAACUCCCCUCGUUAGUAUGUGAAAAAUUGGUAUAAAUCACUGUAAUCCCGAUUUAAUAAUUUGAAAUGGUUCGGAUGCAAAACCAAGAAAGUGCUGCGUAGUGGAUACAAGGUGAGAUUAGCAUUAAGAAAUACUGGGAACACUGCUCCACUAUGCUACUGGUUUGUCGGCUGGCCACGGUCGUAUUGCCACUCUGCCUCAGUUUCUCUAUUUGUAAAAAUGGAGGCAAGAUUGUCGCCUUACCUUUGCUCACCACGGAUGUGGAUGGAGGUCUAUGAUAUAGAUAAGGUGGAUUCUGCCUUUUAAUUUGCCUUUUAUAUUUGGGCCCUCAUGCUCUGCAGCUUUGUAGUUCACAUCAUCAUUUCCACCCUGCACUUUUCAUACAAGACUAAAUGGGAGAGGACUCCUUUUUUGAUGGAAGCCCGUGUGCCUUAGCCAAGAUACAAAGUCGACAGAAACAGCAGCGUGAUGAUGAUCCAGGCCCAUUCAUCCUGACAGCAGAAACAAAUGUGUCUCACUUUUGCUCUACCAUUUACUCAAGCAGAAAACAAAACAAUAGAGAUGGGAAAAGGUCUGAAAGAGCUGUCACAGAACAAGUGCACCAUGCCAAUAAUUUGAAGGAUUAAGAACCCCAAGCCACACGUACUGAGACAAUAGCCGGGGCCAUCCUGUUCACUGAGUUCAUGGAUUAGAGGGAUGUUUCAUAUCAUUCUGUUUUUCUUUUCAACUCUGAUUGAACAAACAUAGCCUGCACGUUCAUAAAUCCCUUGUUAGUAAUGCAAAAUUCAAUACAAUUUCCCUUUCACUACACUCUAUGAUUUUGCCUUUGUAAAAUGUUGCAGUUGUUCUGCCUGGAUGCCUUCACAGAAUAAGCAUGACUUUGUGUCUGGUUC